rnacentral:rRNA from 1 species
AAUGAACGCUGGCGGCGUGGUUAAGACAUGCAAGUCGAACGGUUUUUCAGUGUAGCAAUACAUUGAAAAGACAGUGGCGAACGGGUGCGUAACACGUGAACAAUCUACCUUCAAAUGGGGAAUAGCUCGGCGAAAGCCGGAUUAAUACCGCAUGUGGUCGGGACUCUCCUGAGUCCCAAACUAAAGUCAGGGACCGCAAGGCCUGACGUUUGAAGAGGAGUUCGCGGCCUAUCAGCAGUUGGCGAGGUAACGGCUCACCAAGGCUAAGACGGGUA